rnacentral:rRNA from 1 species
GAUGAACGCUAGCGACAGGCCUAACACAUGCAAGUCGAGGGGCAGCGGGGAGGUAGCAAUACCUUUGCCGGCGACCGGCGCACGGGUGAGUAACACGUAUGCAAUCCACCUGUAACAGGGGGAUAACCCGGAGAAAUCCGGACUAAUACCCCAUAAUAUGGGCGCUCCGCAUGGAGGGCUCAUUAAAGAAAGCAAUUUUGGUUACAGACGAGCAUGCGCUCCAUUAGCCAGUUGGCGGGGUAACGGCCCACCAAAGCGACGAUGGAUAGGGGUUCUGAGAGGAAGGUCCCCCACAUUGGAACUGAGACACGGUCCAAACUCCUACGGGAGGCAGCAGUGAGGAAUAUUGGUCAAUGGUCGGCAGACUGAACCAGCCAAGUCGCGUGAGGGAAGACGGCCCUACGGGUUGUAAACCUCUUUUGUCGGAGAGUAAAGUACGCUACGUGUAGCGUAUUGCAAGUAUCCGAAGAAAAAGCAAUCGGCUAAACUCCGUG